AGCAGCCGCCGCGGUAAUACGGAGGAUCCAAGCGUUAUCCGGAUUUAUUGGGUUUAAAGGGUGCGUAGGCGGCCUAUUAAGUCAGGGGUGAAAGACGGUAGCUUAACUAUCGCAGUGCCUUUGAUACUGAUGGGCUUGAAUACACUUGAGGUAGGCGGAAUGUGACAAGUAGCGGUGAAAUGCAUAGAUAUGUCACAGAACACCAAUUGCGAAGGCAGCUUACUAAAGUGUCAUUGACGCUGAGGCACGAAAGCGUGGGGAUCAAACAGGAUUAGAUACCCGAGUAGUCCCUGUCUCUUAUAC
rnacentral:rRNA from 1 species